rnacentral:rRNA from 1 species
AGUGGGGAAUAUUGCACAAUGGGCGCAAGCCUGAUGCAGCGACGCCGCGUGAGGGAUGACGGCCUUCGGGUUGUAAACCUCUUUCAGUAGGGAAGAAGCCGUAAGGUGACGGUACCUGCAGAAGAAGCGCCGGCUAACUACGUGCCAGCAGCCGCGGUAAUACGUAGGGCGCAAGCGUUAUCCGGAAUUAUUGGGCGUAAAGAGCUCGUAGGCGGUUUGUCGCGUCUGCCGUGAAAGUCCGGGGCUCAACUCCGGAUCUGCGGUGGGUACGGGCAGACUAGAGUGAUGUAGGGGAGACUGGAAUUCCUGGUGUAGCGGUGAAAUGCGCAGAUAUCAGGAGGAACACCGAUGGCGAAGGCAGGUCUCUGGGCAUUAACUGACGCUGAGGAGCGAAAGCAUGGGGAGCGAA